rnacentral:miRNA from 2 species
UUUGCUGUUGACAUCAGCCCCAG